GGGUUGUGAGGUUAAGCGACUAAGCGUACACGGUGGAUGCCCUGGCAGUCAGAGGCGAUGAAGGACGUGCUAAUCUGCGAUAAGCGCCGGUAAGGUGAUAUGAACCGUUAUAACCGGCGAUUUCCGAAUGGGGAAACCCAGUGUGAUUCGUCACACUAUCAUUAACUGAAUCCAUAGGUUAAUGAGGCGAACCGGGGGAACUGAAACAUCUAAGUACCCCGAGGAAAAGAAAUCAACCGAGAUUCCCCCAGUAGCGGCGAGCGAACGGGGAGGAGCCCAGAGCCUGAAUCAGCAUGUGUGUUAGUGGAAGCGUCUGGAAAGGUGCGCGAUACAGGGUGACAGCCCCGUACACAAAAGCGCAUGUGCUGUGAGCUCGAUGAGUAGGGCGGGACACGUGGUAUCCUGUCUGAAUAUGGGGACCAUCCUCCAAGGCUAAAUACUCCUGACUGACCGAUAGUGAACCAGUACCGUGAGGGAAAGGCGAAAAGAACCCCGGCGAGGGGAGUGAAAAAGAACCUGAAACCGUGUACGUACAAGCAGUGGGAGCACAGGUUUACCUGUGUGACUGCGUACCUUUUGUAUAAUGGGUCAGCGACUUAUAUUCUGUAGCAAGGUUAACCGUAUAGGGGAGCCGUAGGGAAACCGAGUCUUAACCGGGCGUUAAGUUGCAGGGUAUAGACCCGAAACCCGGUGAUCUAGCCAUGGGCAGGUUGAAGGUUGGGUAACACUAACUGGAGGACCGAACCGACUAAUGUUGAAAAAUUAGCGGAUGACCUGUGGCUGGGGGUGAAAGGCCAAUCAAACCGGGAGAUAGCUGGUUCUCCCCGAAAGCUAUUUAGGUAGCGCCUCGUGAAUUCAUCUCCGGGGUAGAGCACUGUUUCGGCUAGGGGGCCAUCCCGGCUUACCAACCCGAUGCAAACUGCGAAUACCGGAGAAUGUUAUCACGGGAGACACACGGCGGGUGCUAACGUCCGUCGUGAAGAGGGAAACAACCCAGACCGCCAGCUAAGGUCCCAAAGUCAUGGUUAAGUGGGAAACGAUGUGGGAAGGCCCAGACAGCCGUGAUGUUGGCUUAGAAGCAGCCAUCAUUUAAAGAAAGCGUAAUAGCUCACUGGUCGAGUCGGCCUGCGCGGAAGAUGUAACGGGGCUAAACCAUGCACCGAAGCUGCGGCAGCGAACGUAUCACUUAAAGCGAUUCAGCGGGUUACGAUUGACGGAGCGAAGCGACGUCAAAGCGUAUACAAAGUCGAGUCGGUUUAAGGAUACGUUCGUUGGGUAGGGGAGCGUUCUGUAAGCCCGUGAAGGUGGCCUGUGAGGGUUGCUGGAGGUAUCAGAAGUGCGAAUGCUGACAUAAGUAACGAUAAAGCGGGUGAAAAGCCCGCUCGCCGGAAGACCAAGGGUUCCUGUCCAACGUUAAUCGGGGCAGGGUGAGUCGACCCCUAAGGCGAGGCCGAAAGGCGUAGUCGAUGGGAAACGGGUUAAUAUUCCCGUACUUGGUGUUACUGCGAAGGGGGGACGGAGAAGGCUAUGUUGGCCGGGCGACGGUUGUCCCGGUUUAAGCGUGUAGGUGUGUGUUCCAGGUAAAUCCGGUUCACUUUAACACUGAGGCGUGACGACGAGGCACUACGGUGCUGAAGCAACAAAUGCCCUGCUUCCAGGAAAAGCCUCUAAGCAUCAGGUAACAUCAAAUCGUACCCCAAACCGACACAGGUGGUCAGGUAGAGAAUACCAAGGCGCUUGAGAGAACUCGGGUGAAGGAACUAGGCAAAAUGGUGCCGUAACUUCGGGAGAAGGCACGCUGACACGUAGGUGAAGUGAUUUACUCAUGGAGCUGAAGUCAGUCGAAGAUACCAGCUGGCUGCAACUGUUUAUUAAAACACAGCACUGUGCAAACACGAAAGUGGACGUAUACGGUGUGACGCCUGCCCGGUGCCGGAAGGUUAAUUGAUGGGGUCAGCGCAAGCGAAGCUCCUGAUCGAAGCCCCGGUAAACGGCGGCCGUAACUAUAACGGUCCUAAGGUAGCGAAAUUCCUUGUCGGGUAAGUUCCGACCUGCACGAAUGGCGUAAUGAUGGCCAGGCUGUCUCCACCCGAGACUCAGUGAAAUUGAACUCGCUGUGAAGAUGCAGUGUACCCGCGGCAAGACGGAAAGACCCCGUGAACCUUUACUAUAGCUUGACACUGAACAUUGAGCCUUGAUGUGUAGGAUAGGUGGGAGGCUUUGAAGUGUGGACGCCAGUCUGCAUGGAGCCGACCUUGAAAUACCACCCUUUAAUGUUUGAUGUUCUAACGUGGACCCGUAAUCCGGGUUGCGGACAGUGUCUGGUGGGUAGUUUGACUGGGGCGGUCUCCUCCUAAAGAGUAACGGAGGAGCACGAAGGUUGGCUAAUCCUGGUCGGACAUCAGGAGGUUAGUGCAAUGGCAUAAGCCAGCUUGACUGCGAGCGUGACGGCGCGAGCAGGUGCGAAAGCAGGUCAUAGUGAUCCGGUGGUUCUGAAUGGAAGGGCCAUCGCUCAACGGAUAAAAGGUACUCCGGGGAUAACAGGCUGAUACCGCCCAAGAGUUCAUAUCGACGGCGGUGUUUGGCACCUCGAUGUCGGCUCAUCACAUCCUGGGGCUGAAGUAGGUCCCAAGGGUAUGGCUGUUCGCCAUUUAAAGUGGUACGCGAGCUGGGUUUAGAACGUCGUGAGACAGUUCGGUCCCUAUCUGCCGUGGGCGCUGGAGAACUGAGGGGGGCUGCUCCUAGUACGAGAGGACCGGAGUGGACGCAUCACUGGUGUUCGGGUUGUCAUGCCAAUGGCACUGCCCGGUAGCUAAAUGCGGAAGAGAUAAGUGCUGAAAGCAUCUAAGCACGAAACUUGCCCCGAGAUGAGUUCUCCCUGAGACUUAGAGUCUCCUGAAGGAACGUUGAAGACGACGACGUUGAUAGGCCGGGUGUGUAAGCGCAGCGAUGCGUUGAGCUAACCGGUACUAAUGAACCGUGAGGCUUAACCUUACAACGCCGAAG
rnacentral:rRNA from 1 species